rnacentral:rRNA from 1 species
UACGUAGGGUCCGAGCGUUGUCCGGAAUUACUGGGCGUAAAGAGCUCGUAGGUGGUUUGUCGCGUUGUUCGUGAAAACUCACAGCUCAACUGUGGGCGUGCGGGCGAUACGGGCAGACUAGAGUACUGCAGGGGAGACUGGAAUUCCUGGUGUAGCGGUGGAAUGCGCGGAUAUCAGGAGGAACACCGGUGGCGAAGGCGGGUCUCUGGGCAGUAACUGGACGCUGAGGAGCGAAAGCCGUGGGGAGCGAACAGG